ACGGGAGGCAGCAGUGGGGAAUAUUGCACAAUGGGCGCAAGCCUGAUGCAGCGACGCCGCGUGAGGGAUGGAGGCCUUCGGGUUGUGAACCUCUUUCGCCAGUGAAGCAGGCCUGCUCCUUGUGGGUGGGUUGACGGUAGCUGGAUAAGAAGCGCCGGCUAACUACGUGCCAGCAGCCGCGGUAAUACGUAGGGCGCGAGCGUUGUCCGGAAUUAUUGGGCGUAAAGAGCUCGUAGGCGGCUGGUCGCGUCUGUCGUGAAAUCCUCUGGCUUAACUGGGGGCUUGCGGUGGGUACGGGCCGGCUUGAGUGCGGUAGGGGAGACUGGAACUCCUGGUGUAGCGGUGGAAUGCGCAGAUAUCAGGAAGAACACCGGUGGCGAAGGCGGGUCUCUGGGCCGUUACUGACGCUGAGGAGCGAAAGCGUGGGGAGCGAACAGGAUUAGAUACCCUGGUA
rnacentral:rRNA from 1 species